rnacentral:rRNA from 1 species
CACGGGGGGAGCAAGCGUUGUUCGGAAUCACUGGGCGUAAAGGGCGUGUAGGCGGUUCGGUAAGUGGAAUGUGAAAUGCUCCGGCUCACCCGGAGUACUGCAUCCCAAACUGCCGAGCUUGAGUAUGGGAGAGGAUGAGGGAAUUCCUGGUGUAGCGGUGAAAUGCGUAGAUAUCAGGAGGAACACGGUGGCGAAGGCGCUCAUCUGGCCCAAUACUGACGCUGAGGCGCGAAAGCUAGGGGAGCAAACGGG